GGCAAGAGCUCAGAUUUGAAAUCGUGCUUUGCGGCACGAGUUGUAGAUUGCAGGUUGGAGUCUGUGUGGAAGGCGGUGUCCAAGUCCCUUGGAACAGGGCGCCCAGGAGGGUGAGAGCCCCGUGGGAUGCCGGCGGAAGCAGUGAGGCCCUUCUGACGAGUCGAGUUGUUUGGGAAUGCAGCUCCAAGCGGGUGGUAAAUUCCAUCUAAGGCUAAAUACUGGCGAGAGACCGAUAGCGAACAAGUACUGUGAAGGAAAGAUGAAAAGCACUUUGAAAAGAGAGUGAAACAGCACGUGAAAUUGUUGAAAGGGAAGGGUAUUGCGCCCGACAUGGGGAUUGCGCACCGCUGCCUCUCGUGGGCGGCGCUCUGGGCUUUCCCUGGGCCAGCAUCGGUUCUUGCUGCAGGAGAAGGGGUUCUGGAACGUGGCUCUUCGGAGUGUUAUAGCCAGGGCCAGAUGCUGCGUGCGGGGACCGAGGACUGCG
rnacentral:rRNA from 1 species